AGAGUUUGAUCCUGGCUCAGAAUCAACGCUGGCGGCGUGCCUAAUACAUGCAAGUCGAACGCGAAAGUCCCGCAAGGGAUGAGUAGAGUGGCAAACGGGUGAGUAACGCGUGGGUGACCUGCCUUCGAGUGGGGGAUAACGUUCCGAAAGGGACGCUAAUACCGCAUGAUAUCCCGCCUUUCAAGAGGUGGAGAUCAAAGCUGGGGGUCGCAAGACCUAGCGCUUGGAGAGGGGCCCGCGUCCGAUUAGCUAGUUGGUGGGGUAACGGCUCACCAAGGCAACGAUCGGUAGCCGGCCUGAGAGGGCGGACGGCCACACUGGGACUGAGACACGGCCCAGACUCCUACGGGAGGCAGCAGUAGGGAAUUGUUCGCAAUGGGCGCAAGCCUGACGACGCAACGCCGCGUGGAGGAUGAAGACCUUCGGGUCGUAAACUCCUUUCGAUCGAGACGAAUGGCCUCCGGGUGAACAAUCCGGAGGAGUGACGUACCGAGAGAAGAGA
rnacentral:rRNA from 1 species